UGUGGAUAUUAGGUAUUCAAACCCGGGUC
rnacentral:piRNA from 1 species